rnacentral:sRNA from 1 species
AGGCAGAAAAGAUGGCAGAGGGAGGGUGAACCCAGGGCCCAUCUGUGGGUAUGGGCUCCAAUUUCCUAAAUUGUUUGUGGUUAUAACCAUGGCUUCCACCUUGUCUGGCACCGGGUCCACAUCUUUUAGGUCAGAGCCCUAGAGAAUAAGAGAAGCUUGCUGCUGGUGAGGGGGUAUGGCCAGGAUUCCUGGAGUCGGAAGAGCUUCUGCUUCACCAUCUUGGGAGAAGAAGGAAGAAAGUGAAAGCGAUGUGGUCCUUCUUAGUCCCAAGGACCCUGACAGAGGACACGCAGAGGAGCAGCUGGCUUGCCCGGAGUCCUCCGACCUUGACCCAAGCAUGCAGGGCCCACCCCACAGCCUCCCUGCUGGGCUCAGCCUGGACGACUUCAUCCCUGGCCACCUCCAGUCCCACAUAGGGUCUUCCUCCCGGGGGACACGGUUCCACGACCCCGCGCCCAGGACUGUGUGCAAUGGGGGCUACACACCAAGACGAGAUGCUUCCCAGCACCCGGACCCUGCAUGGUAUCAGACCUGGCCAGGCCCUGGGAGCAAGCCCUCUGCAAGCACAAAGAUCCCUGCCUCCCAGCACACCCAGAACUGGUCAGCCACGUGGACCAAGGACAGCAAGCGUCAGGACAAGCGCUGGGUCAAGUACGAGGGAAUCGGGCCCGUGGAUGAGAGCGGCAUGCCUAUUGCCCCCCGA